rnacentral:rRNA from 1 species
UCCUACGGGAGGCAGCAGUGGGGAAUAUUGCACAAUGGGGGCAACCCUGAUGCAGCAAUACCGCGUGUGUGAAGAAGGCCUGAGGGUUGUAAAGCACUUUCAAUAGUGAAGAAAAGCUCAUGGUUAAUACCCAUGGGUCUUGACGUUAACUAUACAAGAAGCACCGGCUAACUCCGUGCCAGCAGCCGCGGUUAUACGGAGGGUGCAAGCGUUAAUCGGAAUUACUGGGCGUAAAGCGUGCGUAGGCGGUUUACUAAGUCAGAUGUGAAAGCCCCGGGCUUAACCUGGGAACUGCAUUUGAUACUGGUAGGCUAGAGUAUGAUAGAGGGGGGUAGAAUUCCUGGUGUAGCGGUGAAAUGCGUAGAUAUCAGGAGGAAUACCAGUGGCGAAGGCGGCCCCCCGGAUCAAUACUGACGCUGAGGUACGAAAGCGUGGGUAGCGAACAGGAUUAGAUACCCUGGUAGUCCACGCCGUAAACGAUGAGAACUAGCCGUUGGGGUCUUGAGAUCUCAGUGGCGCAGCUAACGCGUGAAGUUCUCCGCCUGGGGACUACGGCCGCAAGGCUAAAACUCAAAUGAAUUGACGG